rnacentral:rRNA from 1 species
GAUGAACGCUAGCGGCAGGCUUAAUACAUGCAAGUCGAGGGGCAGCACAGGUAGCAAUACUGGGUGGCGACCGGCAAACGGGUGCGGAACACGUACGCAACCUUCCUUUAAGUGGGGGAUAGCCCAGGGAAACUUGGAUUAAUACCCCUUAACAUUAUGAGAUGGCAUCAUUUUAUAAUUAAAGCUCCGGCGCUUAAAGAUGGGCGUGCGCCUGAUUAGGUAGUUGGCGGGGUAACAGCCCACCAAGCCUACGAUCAGUAACUGGUGUGAGAGCACAACCAGUCACACGGUCACUGAGACACGGGCCCGACUCCUACGGGGGGCAGCAGUAAGGAAUAUUGGUCAAUGGACUCAAGUCUGAACAAGCCACGCCGCGUGGAGGAUGACGGCCCUCUGGGUUGUAAACUCCUUUUAUCUGGGAAGAAAUGCAGAUUUUCUAAUCUGUUUGACGGUACCAGAGGAAUAAGCACCGGCUAACUCCGUGCCAGCCGCCGCGGUAA